rnacentral:pre_miRNA from 1 species
AGUAUGAUAGCUGGGUCAAAUGGUGGUUUCAAUCCAAAUUUUCUGAGGAAUCUGCAUAGUGUUUUUCAUAGUGUUUGCACCAAUUCGCAGUCCCACCAGCAAU